ensembl:lncRNA novel transcript
UUUAUACAAAAACCUUUUAUUGACUGUAUUUCUUCUCCCCAUAACCUGGAACCCAGCCAGCAUCUAUGGCUUCCUGCUGUCUGAUUCUUGAAAGUGGGGCCUUGGGAACAUGUUUGGAGGCUAUGGAAGGUGGGGUUUUCUGAGUCUACUGGGUAGACUCAGACAAUCAAUCCAAAAACUUUAGAAAGGGCUAAGCUCCACAGCACUGAUCUCAACCCUGGGUGCUCAUUAGAAUCAACUGGGGAGCUUUUAAUAGCUACUGAUGCCUGGGACCCACCCUAGACAAUUAAAUUGAAUCUCUGGGGCAGAGACUCAGGCAUCACUGUGGUUUAAAGCAUCCCAGACUGGAAGCCGGAACCUUUACGGAAGAGCCUGAAGCAGUCAGGGCUUGGACUAGCAUCCAUUUUAGCGACUGUCCUUGUAACAGUGGGUACUGCGCUUCUCUCAGCAGUAGCAAUGUCUUACUCUCUCCAAUCCAUCCUCAUUAUGACACAAAAAAGCACAGGCAAAAACUAGCCAACAUUAGCAGGUCAUU